GAGAAAACCACCAACUUGAAUAAUCAUGCAGAUAAGAUUCGAAAACAGAAAGCUUUAAAGUGAAAAUAUGGCCAGUCUGAAAAAAUUGUCAGCAAGCCUCAAUUACUUGACAGAAAUGCUAUGAGAAAAAGUACCAUCUGCUUUUGCAUCUUUGGAGAGUCCCAUCCCUACGAUUUUGCUUUCUAACAAAAUCUACCCGAGAGAAAUGCUUAAAGAUGUAAUGAAAAAGAUGUGAAGGUACUCUUGUUAAAGUCCCCAAGAGAUACAGGACAAACACCAAAAGAACCAACAAGAUAAAAAGAUGAAAAACUAGCUAUCUCAUCAUCAUUUUGAGAAAAAUGGCUACAAGGAAAUAUCAGUUUUGAGUUAUUUACUCUCUAUAGGAACAUGAAGCCCUCCUUGAUUAAUUGAAAUAUGGGAAAGCUUCAGCUUAAUGGCCUCAAACUCGGCAUUCUGUCUCUCUUCAUUUGUUAACCACAAUGAUAAGCAACGAUCAAUCAAAUCUGUGCCACAACUCGAGGGAGCAAUUCCCUUUAAAAUUCUUGUUCUCCCAUACCUUGUUAUCCUUUCUAGAUUAGUAUCAGAGGGCUCCUCAGCAUAGUUCUCAAGAAUGUCCCUUAUAGCACCACACCAGAUUGGACGAGCUACCUUCAGGAAGUCAUGCAAUGCCAACACUGGAAGAUUGACGCUUCCCAGUUCAGACUCGCUGUUUCCAACCCUUCCAUGAAAAUCUGACCCUCCAAGCUUCAGAAGACCGUAAGCGUCUGCUAGGUCACUGUAUACUGCCAGUUUUCCAUCGCUUCUGUAAACUUCCAACCCAUGAAGACCUGCAUCUUUCAGCCAUCUGAUAACUGCAACAGGAUUCUUCAAUGCCCAUGGAUGAGCCAGCACUGCAAGUCCACCAGUUUCACAUAUCACUUGUAUUGCUUCCUCUGCAAGAGGCUCACUUCCCGUGGAAUAAGCAGGUCCGCCAUCAUAUAGAUAUUUGGCGAAAGCUUGUUUCAGAUUCUCAACAUGGCCUGCUUCAACCAUAGCCCGAGCCACGUGCACUCUCCCAGGAGCAACUCCUUUGCCAGCAAUCCUGGCAACAUGUUCCCACUUAAGAGGCAAGUUGAGUUUGUUGAGCUUCAAGAUCAUAUCUUUUGCACGAAGGUAACGACCAUCUCGUAUGUUAGCCAAUAAAUUUUCCAGUUCCUCAAAUUUUGCUGGCCCACAGCAACUGUAAUAUGCAAGAAUGUGCACUGGCUCCUCUGCUUCAGUAUUUCUAGGAGAAUAUAUAGUGCUGAUCUCAACACCCGGGAUUAUCUUGAUGCCAAAUCUCCGAGCUGCUUCCAUAGCUUCAGGGAUACCAGCCAUCGUGUCAUGAUCUGUCAAAGCAAGAACUUUCACCUGUUCUGAACAGAGUGUACGGAUUAAAUCUUGAUAAAAAUAAGAACAUAAUAAAUGUCAAUGCACCAGCCAAUGCAUUUAAAGAAAAGUACUUCCAAAAAAGGAACAAAUCUUGAGAAGGAAUCCAUUAAAGUCCACCCCAACUGUAAAUCAUCCUAAAAUGCUCUUUUCAGCUCAUAAUAUCAAAUUCAACUUCCAAUCUUUUUCUUUAGCCAUAGUUAAGAUGAAGAAGCUCCAUCCCAAAAAUUUCUGGAGAAUAUUUUUGUGUAGAUGAUUAGUCAAAGAGAAAAAAACAAAAAUAAUAAUAAUAAAAGGCUAUUAUCGUCCCCAAUAAAUAAUACUGCAACCCCAAUAUAUAUACUGUCAGUUCAUCCUAUAAUCUAAUCUAUUCUAUCCUUUUGAAACAGUUAAACAAACCCAAAAUGCAUGUGCAACCAAGAACAUAAAACGGCAUAAAUCCAGUCAAGGUUGGCAUUUUCUUGUGUUGAAAAACAAAUUAAGCAAAACCAAGUUGAAAUGAAAAUUUUAAAGACUCCACUUUGUUAGGUUGUUCAUAUCUUUAAAAGAUGUUAUCUUAGAAUACAACAAAUCUCCAAUUCAUAUUAUAUUAGGCUAGAAGCCAAAGCCCUACCCGGCUACCAACUUUGUUUUUCCGAAUUAGUAGUAUUCAUAUCCUUAAAAGUCCCUUCAAAAUCAAAUUAUAGAAUCAAUCCAUUUCACUUGCCACUCUUAAAGCAUAAAAUAAUUGAAUAGAUGGCUAAUCUAUGAAACUAAAACCCAUUUCAUUUGUCCAUUCAAAAAAGCAAGAAAACAAAACCAGCAGAAACAAAAAAAAAAAUACCCCAGUUUAGCAUUUGUAAAUGAAUAGAAAAAUUACAAGGAAGAAAUAGAAAGGAAAUCAAUCCAACUGCAC
rnacentral:misc_RNA from 1 species